rnacentral:rRNA from 1 species
GUCUACGGCCAUGCUACCCUGAACAAGCCCGAUCCUGUCUGAUCUCGAAAGCUAAGCAGGGUUGGGCGUGGUUAGUACUGGGAUGGGAGACCACCUUGGAAGACCAGGUGUUAUAGGCA